rnacentral:lncRNA from 1 species
GCCAUUUUAUAUAUUGUCAUUAUAUUAAAAGAAACACUAAACUCAGAAAUACCAAAAGCAUUACAUUGUCUUUUUAUUAACCUUAGCGGAUGUAUCUUGUAAUGGAGCUGUGUGAGCAUGGAGAAAUCUUAGUACUAAAGGACAUUUUACAGAAAAUCAGACAAAGUGCAUCAUUCAGAGUCCUACUUCAGCAACAGCACACCAAUGGUAUAUUUAAGAUUCUGUACCAGGGAUCUGUUGAGAGCUCUUUUUAUUCUCUGUAGUCACUGAAAAGGAAGAAAUGCUGUUUUUGAAUACGAACAUGAACUAACGGGCAAAAUACGUCAUCUCCAUUGAUUCUGGAAGUGAAAACUGUAGUUUUUGCUUUCAACUUAUGACUACAUCUCCCAUGAUGUAAUAGAGAAAGUAUGGCCCAAACCAUCAUCUCUUUGACAUGAAUGAAACAAUACAAGAUGAUAAAUGAAUAGACUACAAUUAUUGAAUUUUUAAUAUAGAAUAUAAAUAAAUCUAUUUUGUACUUCUAUUUUUUGGGUAUU